GCGCACGUGUGAAACUUGAAGGAAUUGACGGAAGGGCACCACAAGAACGCGUGGAGCAUGUGGCUUAAUUUGACCCAACGCGGGAAAUCUUACCGGGUCCGGACACACUGAGGAUUGACAGGCAAAAUUAUGAUUUUGUAUUUUUUACAAAUUUAUAUGCAAAUAUGCUAGUCCUUUCAUGAUUAUGUGAUAGGUGGUGCAUGGCCGUUCUUAGUUCGUGGAGUGAUCUGUCUGCUUAAUUGCGUUUCACCAAGGGUUUAUAAAAAACGUAUGUUGCGACAUCUCGAUCCCGCUUUUUAAGUGUGUGGUCUCGAUGUUUGCGCAUACAAAUAAGCCCUGAAAGCAACGAACGUGACG
rnacentral:rRNA from 1 species